GGAGGCUGGCGGCUGGCGGCGCUGCCCGCCUCUGACGGGGGCCCGCGGCCGAGAAGUGAAGGGUGUAUUGCAUGCGAAGCACCGCCUGUGUGGGCAGAUGAGACCUCCUGUGUGUGGGGACCCCAGCACAGCCCUUGCCUGUGUCUGCAGUGUGACCUCAGGACUCCCCGGCUGCAAACCAGAUGUGAUCUCCAAGCUGGAACAGUGGGAAGACCCCUGGACUAUGGAGACAGAUGUUCUGAGAGGUCCAGGUGAGUGAAGUAAAGGUCUAUCAGGCUCAAAGCCUGGGCCCCGAGCUGCAUGGCUACCUCUAGACAAAG
rnacentral:lncRNA from 1 species